rnacentral:rRNA from 2 species
AAUCCAUAGGUUAAUGAGGCGAACCGGGGGAACUGAAACAUCUAAGUACCCCGAGGAAAAGAAAUCAACCGAGAUUCCCCCAGUAGCGGCGAGCGAACGGGGAGGAGCCCAGAGCCUGAAUCAGCAUGUGUGUUAGUGGAAGCGUCUGGAAAGGCGCGCGAUACAGGGUGACAGCCCCGUACACAAAAGCGCAUGUGCUGUGAGCUCGAUGAGUAGGGCGGGACACGUGGUAUCCUGUCUGAAUAUGGGGGGACCAUCCUCCAAGGCUAAAUACUCCUGACUGACCGAUAGUGAACCAGUACCGUGAGGGAAAGGCGAAAAGAACCCCGGCGAGGGGAGUGAAAAAGAACCUGAAACCGUGUACGUACAAGCAGUGGGAGCACCCUUCGGGGUGUGACUGCGUACCUUUUGUAUAAUGGGUCAGCGACUUAUAUUCUGUAGCAAGGUUAACCGUAUAGGGGAGCCGGAGGGAAACCGAGUCUUAAUUGGGCGUUAAGUUGCAGGGUAUAGACCCGAAACCCGGUGAUCUAGCCAUGGGCAGGUUGAAGGUUGGGUAACACUAACUGGAGGACCGAACCGACUAAUGUUGAAAAAUUAGCGGAUGACCUGUGGCUGGGGGUGAAAGGCCAAUCAAACCGGGAGAUAGCUGGUUCUCCCCGAAAGCUAUUUAGGUAGCGCCUCGUGAAUUCAUCUCCGGGGGUAGAGCACUGUUUCGGCUAGGGGGCCAUCCCGGCUUACCAACCCGAUGCAAACUGCGAAUACCGGAGAAUGUUAUCACGGGAGACACACGGCGGGUGCUAACGUCCGUCGUGAAGAGGGAAACAACCCAGACCGCCAGCUAAGGUCCCAAAGUCAUGGUUAAGUGGGAAACGAUGUGGGAAGGCCCAGACAGCCAGGAUGUUGGCUUAGAAGCAGCCAUCAUUUAAAGAAAGCGUAAUAGCUCACUGGUCGAGUCGGCCUGCGCGGAAGAUGUAACGGGGCUAAACCAUGCACCGAAGCUGCGGCAGCGAACGUAUCACCCAAGACAACUUUACGGAGUUGACGAUUGACGGAGCGAAGCGACGUCAAAGCGUUCAUUAAAGUCGAGUUGGCUUAGGGAUACGUUCGUUGGGUAGGGGAGCGUUCUGUAAGCCUGUGAAGGUGUGUCGUGAGGCAUGCUGGAGGUAUCAGAAGUGCGAAUGCUGACAUAAGUAACGAUAAAGCGGGUGAAAAGCCCGCUCGCCGGAAGACCAAGGGUUCCUGUCCAACGUUAAUCGGGGCAGGGUGAGUCGACCCCUAAGGCGAGGCCGAAAGGCGUAGUCGAUGGGAAACGGGUUAAUAUUCCCGUACUUGGUGUUACUGCGAAGGGGGGACGGAGAAGGCUAUGUUGGCCGGGCGACGGUUGUCCCGGUUUAAGCGUGUAGGUGUGUGUUCCAGGUAAAUCCGGUUCACUUUAACACUGAGGCGUGACGACGAGGCACUACGGUGCUGAAGCAACAAAUGCCCUGCUUCCAGGAAAAGCCUCUAAGCAUCAGGUAACACGAAAUCGUACCCCAAACCGACACAGGUGGUCAGGUAGAGAAUACCAAGGCGCUUGAGAGAACUCGGGUGAAGGAACUAGGCAAAAUGGUGCCGUAACUUCGGGAGAAGGCACGCUGACACGUAGGUGAAGUGAUUUACUCAUGGAGCUGAAGUCAGUCGAAGAUACCAGCUGGCUGCAACUGUUUAUUAAAAACACAGCACUGUGCAAACACGAAAGUGGACGUAUACGGUGUGACGCCUGCCCGGUGCCGGAAGGUUAAUUGAUGGGGUCAGCGUAAGCGAAGCUCCUGAUCGAAGCCCCGGUAAACGGCGGCCGUAACUAUAACGGUCCUAAGGUAGCGAAAUUCCUUGUCGGGUAAGUUCCGACCUGCACGAAUGGCGUAAUGAUGGCCAGGCUGUCUCCACCCGAGACUCAGUGAAAUUGAACUCGCUGUGAAGAUGCAGUGUACCCGCGGCAAGACGGAAAGACCCCGUGAACCUUUACUAUAGCUUGACACUGAACAUUGAGCCUUGAUGUGUAGGAUAGGUGGGAGGCUUUGAAGUGUGGACGCCAGUCUGCAUGGAGCCGACCUUGAAAUACCACCCUUUAAUGUUUGAUGUUCUAACGUGGACCCGUAAUCCGGGUUGCGGACAGUGUCUGGUGGGUAGUUUGACUGGGGCGGUCUCCUCCUAAAGAGUAACGGAGGAGCACGAAGGUUGGCUAAUCCUGGUCGGACAUCAGGAGGUUAGUGCAAUGGCAUAAGCCAGCUUGACUGCGAGCGUGACGGCGCGAGCAGGUGCGAAAGCAGGUCAUAGUGAUCCGGUGGUUCUGAAUGGAAGGGCCAUCGCUCAACGGAUAAAAGGUACUCCGGGGAUAACAGGCUGAUACCGCCCAAGAGUUCAUAUCGACGGCGGUGUUUGGCACCUCGAUGUCGGCUCAUCACAUCCUGGGGCUGAAGUAGGUCCCAAGGGUAUGGCUGUUCGCCAUUUAAAGUGGUACGCGAGCUGGGUUUAGAACGUCGUGAGACAGUUCGGUCCCUAUCUGCCGUGGGCGCUGGAGAACUGAGGGGGGCUGCUCCUAGUACGAGAGGACCGGAGUGGACGCAUCACUGGUGUUCGGGUUGUCAUGCCAAUGGCACUGCCCGGUAGCUAAAUGCGGAAGAGAUAAGUGCUGAAAGCAUCUAAGCACGAAACUUGCCCCGA